AAGGGGAAAAAGAAAGUAAAACUUGCAAAAGAAAUAAAUAAAAUGAACAAUGUUGGAAAGGAAGAAAAAUAAGCAAAGGCGUGAAAAAUAAAUUUGGCAGAGCUUCCGCAAAACUGAGCGUGCAAAAACUGUGUCUUUGAAAGUUCCCAAUUAGCUGCUAUUUAUACAGCUGCUGGUGUAACUACUUUUCAAGGGUUUCCGUGUGCGUGGUCUCGUUCCGAGGGUUAAGCGUGCGUGGAAGUAGGCUUCAACGUGGUCAGUUGAGUUCCUUGCGCCAAAAAUAUAGAGGACUGGUGUGACGUUCGUCACACCAUGUGUGACGCUCGUCACAGGAGUGCUUUUAGUGUGAC
rnacentral:lncRNA from 1 species